rnacentral:rRNA from 1 species
AGUGAACGCUGGCGGUAGGCCUAACACAUGCAAGUCGAGCGGCAGCACAGUAAGAGCUUGCUCUUACGGGUGGCGGGUGGCGGACGGGUGAGGAAUACAUCGGAAUCUACUUUUUCGUGGGGGAUAACGUAGGGAAACUUACGCUAAUACCGCAUACGACCUACGGGUGAAAGCAGGGGAUCUUCGGACCUUGCGCGAUUGAAUGAGCCGAUGUCGGAUUAGCUAGUUGGCGGGGUAAAGGCCCACCAAGGCGACGAUCCGUAGCUGGUCUGAGAGGAUGAUCAGCCACACUGGAACUGAGACACGGUCCAGACUCCUACGGGAGGCAGCAGUGGGGAAUAUUGGACAAUGGGCGCAAGCCUGAUCCAGCCAUACCGCGUGGGUGAAGAAGGCCUUCGGGUUGUAAAGCCCUUUUGUUGGGAAAGAAAAGCAGCAGGUUAAUACCCCGCUGUUCUGACGGUACCCAAAGAAUAAGCACCGGCUAACUUCGUG